GCCAGUCCCUGCUUGCUGCUGAACCCAGCCAGCAGCAGAGAUCGCCAAGCCUCAGAGCUUGUGCUCCCUGUCUCCUGCAGCCUGGCUCCUGUCUCCACUGCUACUGGGCUCCAGACCUUGCUGCUGCCACCCAAUAGCUGCCUUCAUCAGUAGUCCUGCUUGAACCCCUGCCCUGCCCUGAGACCUACACUGGACCUACACUACACUUCAGCAGUGAGCCAUUCCAUUCCAUGAAUUUCGCCUCCUCGUCUGCUGUGUGUGAGAACAACGCCUUAGUUAUGAGUGCCAUAACGCGUGAUGGAAGUGAGUGAGCCAGUCUGAUCGUUACAUCUGGUGAAAUUACAAGUCACCUCAUGAACACUGCACUUGAUUGUCUGGAAACCAAUAUGAUUUGUUGCUUGGCUUUACAUGUUUGUUUAUAGGAAUCGAUGGCUGUAAUAUAGUCUGAGCAUUCCCUAGCAGGUGGUAACAAAUCUCUCUCUCUCAUUAAAAUUGAGAAGAAGCAAGCACAUCUCCUUUGCACGCAGGGGUCAGGCUACUAUAGGGACCAUGUGUUCUUUGAGGGUUUCCUUUCUUUAACAGUUUGCCAAACUGUGGACAAAUCCCCAGUGGUAUAUGUCUGCCUGUUUCUUCGCAGUGUCUAUCUCCUUUUAAGAGUGGUGAGACCAUUAUAAAUCCAACAGGUGCAGUUUAAAAAAAUCUGAUUAUGGGUCAGCACAGCAAGUGUCCAAAGCUGUGACCUCUCCGUGACUUUUGUCCUUAUGUUCCUUUUCGGUGGUUAAGCCCCAUUUAUGGAAUAACCUAACCUCCCCAGUGAGGUCUGCCUGGCUUCAUUACUUUGUUCUUUUAGAUGCCAGGUAAAGACCUUGUUUUCACUUGGGCCUUUAGAUUUUUUAAAAUUUUGAUCUGCUUGUAACUGAUCUUUAAAAAGUUAAAAAAAAAAGUUCUGUAUUGUAUUUCAUAUCCCCCCUUUUGAGGGGUCUGUUGUGAUUUAAAGUGUUCUGUCUUUUUAUCUCAUGUUUUAAUGUUGUGUUGUAAGCCACCCCGAGCACAACUUGUUAUGGGGCGGCUAACAAAUAAAGAUGAUUCAGAGUUUUUCUUA